rnacentral:rRNA from 1 species
AUUGAACGCUGGCGGCAUGCUUUACACAUGCAAGUCGAACGGCAGCGGGGUAGUGCUUGCACUACUGCCGGCGAGUGGCGAACGGGUGAGUAAUAUAUCGGAACGUACCGAGUAAUGGGGGAUAACCAAUCGAAAGAUUGGCUAAUACCGCAUACGUCCUGAGGGAGAAAGCGGGGGAUCGCAAGACCUCGCGUUAUUCGAGCGGCCGAUAACUGAUUAGCUAGUUGGUGGGGUAAAGGCCUACCAAGGCGACGAUCAGUAGCGGGUCUGAGAGGACGAUCCGCCACACUGGGACUGAGACACGGCCCAGACUCCUACGGGAGGCAGCAGUGGGGAAUUUUGGACAAUGGGGGCAACCCUGAUCCAGCCACGCCGCGUGUAUGAAGAAGGCCUUCGGGUUGUAAAGUACUUUUGUUAGGGAAGAAAAGGGAAGUGCUAAUACCACUUUUUGCUGACGGUACCUAAAGAAUAAGCACCGGCUAACUACGUG